rnacentral:misc_RNA from 1 species
AUUCUCAAUUAUAAUCAUAAUAAUCAAAUCUCUAAUAAUAAAAUACUAGACAUAGGCAUUUAGUGUAUAUCACUGUCCAUAAUUGAAACUAAUCAAGAAUACUAAAUCAAAACAAACUUCCUAAAUAACAAAAAUAGUGAUAGAAUUUCUAAAUAAUAGAAACACUCCUGAUAUUUCCUAAAUAAUAGAAAUAUAAUCUUCCUAAUUUUACA